AACCCAUGAUGAGGACACUUACAAAGUAAUUCUUUCAAUAUUUCCCAUGCCUCAUAUAAAGAUUCGAUAUCCAAUUGUUGGAAAGUCGUUAUCUCAUUAUAAAACU
rfam:Gossypium raimondii chromosome 2, whole genome shotgun sequence.